rnacentral:rRNA from 1 species
AGCGCAGGCGGGAAACUAAGCGGAUCUUAAAAGUGCGGGGCUCAACCCCGUGAUGGGGUCCGAACUGGUUUUCUUUGAGUGCAGGAGAGGAAAGCGGAAUUCCCAGUGUAGCGGUGAAAUGCGUAGAUAUUGGGAAGAACACCAGUGGCGAAGGCGGCUUUCUGGACUGUAACUGACGCUGAGGCUCGAAAGCUAGGGUAGCGAAG